UACGUAGGGGGCUAGCGUUGUCCGGAAUCAUUGGGCGUAAAGCGCGUGUAGGCGGCCCGGUAAGUCCGCUGUGAAAGUCGGGGGCUCAACCCUCGGAUGCCGAUCGAUACUGUCAGGCUAGAGUCCGGAAGAGGCGAGUGGAAUUCCUGGUGUAGCGGUGAAAUGCGCAGAUAUCAGGAGGAACACCAAUUGCGAAGGCAGCUCGCUGGGACGUUACUGACGCUGAGACGCGAAAGCGUGGGGAGCAAACAGG
rnacentral:rRNA from 1 species